rnacentral:rRNA from 1 species
GAAGUCUAACAUGUGCGCGAGUCAUUGGGUGUCAAACCUAAAGGCGGAAUGAAAGUGAAGGGUAAGCUCUGCUUUCCGAGGGAGGAUGGGCACGUCGGCUCAAAGGGCGGUGCCCCGCACUCCCGGGGCGUCUCUUUCUCACUGCGAGUAGAGGCGCACCCAGAGCGUACACGUUAGGACCCGAAAGAUGGUGAACUAUGCCUGGUCAGGACGAAGCCAGGGGAAACCCUGGUGGAGGUCCGUAGCGAUUCUGACGUGCAAAUCGAUCGUCAGAGCUGGGUAUAGGGGCGAAAGACUAAUCGAACCAUCUAGUAGCUGGUUCCCUCCGAAGUUUCCCUCAGGAUAGCUGGUACCCGUGUGAGACGAGUCUCAUCCGGUAAAGCGAAUGAUUAGAGGCCUUGGGGCCGAAACGACCUCAACCUAUUCUCAAACUUUAAAUAGAUGAGAACUCCGGCUUGCUUGAAAGUGAAGCCGGAGAUUCGGAUCAGGGUGCCCAGUGGGCCAAUUUUG